rnacentral:miRNA from 8 species
UAAUUCUUGCUCCCCAGGUGAGAGUGC